UCAAACUUGGUCAUUUAGAGGAAGUAAAAGUCGUAACAAGGUUUCCGUAGGUGAACCUGCGGAAGGAUCAUUAACAAAUUGUCCAUCCAUGGAUAAUUUUAUCCAUAUCCACCCUUGUGAAUUAUUGAACUGUUUGUUGGCAGGUUUUAAGGCUGCUUCUUAUAGCGCCUGUGGAGUCGGUCUUGUGCUGUGCUCGGCCUGCCAAUUUUUAUUUUACGCUUAAACAUGUCUAAAACGUUACCGGUCUGAAAUUGUAUAUACUUAUAAUAUAAAUACAACUUUCAACAACGGAUCUCUUGGCUCUCGCAUCGAUGAAGAACGCAGC
rnacentral:misc_RNA from 1 species